AAACCACCCGCAGGAAGCCAGUUGGGGAACCUUGACCUAGUGGUAAACUAGCUAGCUUUCUAACAAGCUAACAGUCUAGCUUCUGUUGCACAGGAAGUGUAAGGACUAAGGAUAUCAAUGGUGCUUUCAAGACAAAUGGUAACGAGAGAGAGAGAGAAAAAGAGGUCCAAAUCUGACAUCCUUUAUAUUCAGGUCGGAAAGUCGGAGCUCUACAAAGAUGUUCGCGUUUCUGACUUGGAAUUCCAAGUUGGAUGACCGUUCAAAAAUAUUUUUCCCAGUCUGAGUUCGUAUUUUUACGAGUUCCCAGUUGUCUUCUAGGAACAGAGCGUAUAUGCUUGUUCCUAGGUUGUCUAAAACACACUGAAGUCAGAGAUUUCCGAGUUCCGACUUGUUUUGAACGCGGCAUCUGACUGUCGACCUGCCUGUCCAUUUGCUUAAUAUACUUAUGUCCACAAAGCAA